UACGCAGAAAGCAUUUGGUUUUUUGUUUUGUUUUUCCCAAGCUGUAAGGUUUGUCUGUGUUUUGUUUUUCAAGACAGGGUUUCUCUCUGUAGCCCUGGCUGUCCUGGAACUCACUGUGUAGACCAGGCUGGCCUUGACUUCACAGAAAUCCGCCUGCUCCUGCCUCCCAAGUGGAGGAGUUACAGAUGUGCACUAAUCCAAUUCGGGUCCAGGCUGUUUUACAAAUACAUGUCUCGGUCUGUGUGUGCACAUGGACAGUUUUGAUUGUUUUAAUCUCGGGGCUGAUGAUUAUAUUUUCCUGUUAAAAUAGGCUCUGACCAGAAAUUCUGCACUUUCAUAUACCAGUGACAGACAUUUUCUGAGCCUGUACUGCAUGUCAGACUCUGUGCUCAGCAUGUCACAUACCUAAUUUUGACUAGCAUCUUCUUGAGAUGGGUGUUGUCACCAUGAGGAUUGGUGAGGUUAAGCAAUUGGCUCAGUAUGAUGAUGGUGGAGCUGGACCAGGGAGCUGGCCACCUGGACAUGCUGUAAGCCAGCAGAUCCUGUUCCCUAGACCAUGCAGAUGUCUCAGCCAGCUUUACACAAAACACACAGUUUGCCGUUUCAGUGCCUCUGGGUGGGUCAGCUAUUCUGUAAGGCUGUUAAUUGUGAGGCUUAUUUCUUUCCUCUUUGUCUGUGUUAAACAGAGAAGAGGCUUUUUUUUUCUUUUUUUCUCUCUCUCUAGAAUCUUCUUUGCAGAGUACUGUAUUCCCUGUGUGUUAGCUGAUGAAGUCAGCAGGGUUUUGGACUCCCAUUUCCUGGUCAUUCGCAAGUACUUAUUUUACCAUCUCUAAAUGGAGUGCAUUAGCUCCAGGCCACGGAGAGCAAAUUAGGGGAGCAGGGAGAUGCAUCGCGAGAACGAGGCUGCUUGGGAAAAUGUGCCUGUGCCUCUGGCUGGACUCCCCAGCUGUGGGAGUAAAUACACGGAUGUCAGGGUGUCAUUCCACGGCUGUUGCAGAAUGAAGCUGGCAGUCUACAGGUAAGGCUGAAACAAAGCAGCCAGUCUGGGCUUUAAAGGUACAUUUUGGCUUCUGAAAUU
rnacentral:lncRNA from 1 species